AGAGUUUGAUCAUGGCUCAGAUUGAACGCUGGCGGCAGGCCUAACACAUGCAAGUCGAACGGUAACAGGAAGCAGCUUGCUGCUUCGCUGACGAGUGGCGGACGGGUGAGUAAUGUCUGGGAAACUGCCUGAUGGAGGGGGAUAACUACUGGAAACGGUGGCUAAUACCGCAUAACGUCGCAAGACCAAAGAGGGGGACCUUCGGGCCUCUUGCCAUCAGAUGUGCCCAGAUGGGAUUAGCUAGUUGGUGAGGUAACGGCUCACCAAGGCGACGAUCCCUAGCUGGUCUGAGAGGAUGACCAGCCACACUGGAACUGAGACACGGUCCAGACUCCUACGGGAGGCAGCAGUGGGGAAUAUUGCACAAUGGGCGCAAGCCUGAUGCAGCCAUGCCGCGUGUAUGAAGAAGGCCUUCGGGUUGUAAAGUACUUUCAGCGGGGAGGAAGGUGUUGUGGUUAAUAACCACAGCAAUUGACGUUACCCGCAGAAGAAGCACCGGCUAACUCCGUGCCAGCAGCCGCGGUAAUACGGAGGGUGCAAGCGUUAAUCGGAAUUACUGGGCGUAAAGCGCACGCAGGCGGUCUGUCAAGUCGGAUGUGAAAUCCCCGGGCUCAACCUGGGAACUGCAUUCGAAACUGGCAGGCUUGAGUCUUGUAGAGGGGGGUAGAAUUCCAGGUGUAGCGGUGAAAUGCGUAGAGAUCUGGAGGAAUACCGGUGGCGAAGGCGGCCCCCUGGACAAAGACUGACGCUCAGGUGCGAAAGCGUGGGGAGCAAACAGGAUUAGAUACCCUGGUAGUCCACGCCGUAAACGAUGUCUACUUGGAGGUUGUGCCCUUGAGGCGUGGCUUCCGGAGCUAACGCGUUAAGUAGACCGCCUGGGGAGUACGGCCGCAAGGUUAAAACUCAAAUGAAUUGACGGGGGCCCGCACAAGCGGUGGAGCAUGUGGUUUAAUUCGAUGCAACGCGAAGAACCUUACCUGGUCUUGACAUCCACAGAACUUUCCAGAGAUGGAUUGGUGCCUUCGGGAACUGUGAGACAGGUGCUGCAUGGCUGUCGUCAGCUCGUGUUGUGAAAUGUUGGGUUAAGUCCCGCAACGAGCGCAACCCUUAUCCUUUGUUGCCAGCGGUUAGGCCGGGAACUCAAAGGAGACUGCCAGUGAUAAACUGGAGGAAGGUGGGGAUGACGUCAAGUCAUCAUGGCCCUUACGACCAGGGCUACACACGUGCUACAAUGGCGCAUACAAAGAGAAGCGACCUCGCGAGAGCAAGCGGACCUCAUAAAGUGCGUCGUAGUCCGGAUUGGAGUCUGCAACUCGACUCCAUGAAGUCGGAAUCGCUAGUAAUCGUGGAUCAGAAUGCCACGGUGAAUACGUUCCCGGGCCUUGUACACACCGCCCGUCACACCAUGGGAGUGGGUUGCAAAAGAAGUAGGUAGCUUAACCUUCGGGAGGGCGCUUACCACUUUGUGAUUCAUGACUGGGGUGAAGUCGUAACAAGGUAACCGUAGGGGAACCUGCGGUUGGAUCACCU
rnacentral:rRNA from 3 species